AAAAAAAGCUGUGUGUAUUUCUGCGGUGCCCGUACCGCAAACCGACACAGGUAGGUAGGAAGAAGAUUCUAAGGCCAACGGGAGAAGGGUUGUUAAGGAACUCGGCAAAUUGACCCCGUAACUUCGGGAGAAGGGGUGCUCCAGAGAUGGAGCCGCAGAGAAUCGGCCCAAGCAACUGUUUACCAAAAACACAGGUUUGUGCUAAAUCGAAAGAUGACGUAUACGAGCUGACGCCUGCCCGGUGCUGGAAGGUUAAGAGGAGAUGUGCAAGCAUUGAAUCGAAGCCCCAGUGAACGGCGGCCGUAACAAUAACGGUCCUAGGUAGCGAAAUUCCUUGUCAGGUAAGUUCUGACCCGCAUGAAAGGCGUAAUGAUUUGGGCACUGUCUCGACAGCCCGCCCGGCGAAAUUGUAGUACCGGUGAAGAUGCCGGUUACCCGCGACAAGACGGAAAGACCCCAUGGAGCUUUACUGUAGCCUAAUAUUGGGUUUCGAUGUUGCAUGCACAGGAUAGAUGGGACACAGGGAAACAAGUGCUUUGGCAUUUGUGGAGUGGCCGUUGGGAUACCAUCCUUGCGAUAUUGGAAUUCUAACCUGCGCCUUUGAAUCAAGGCGGGGGACAUUGUUAGGUGGGCAGUUUGACUGGGGCGGUCGCCUCCUAAAGAGUAACGGAGGCGUUCAAAGGUUCGCUCAGCUUGAACGGAAAUCAAGCAAAAAGAGUGCAAACGCAGAAGCGAGCCUAACUGCGAGACUGACGGGUCGAGCAGUAACGAAAGUUGGAGUUAGUGAUCCGGUGGUAUGUGAGUGGAAAUGCCAUCGCUCAACGGAUAAAAGUUACCCUGGGGAUAACAGGCUGAUCUCCCCCAAGAGUCCACAUCGACGGGGAGGUUUGGCACCUCGAUGUCGGCUCAUCGCAUCCUGGGGCUGUAUUCGGUCCCAAGGGUUUGGCUGUUCGCCAAUUAAAGCGGUACGCGAGCUGGGUUCAGAACGUCGUGAGACAGUUCGGUCCCUAUCUGUCGUGGGCGCAGGAUAUUUGAUGGGAGCUGUUCCUAGUACGAGAGGACCGGAGCGGACGUACCUCUGGCGCACCAGUUGUUCUGCCAAGGGCAUAGCUGGGCAACUAUGUACGGAUCGGAUAAACGCUGAAAGCAUCUAAGCGUGAAGCCGACCCAAAGAUAAGAUAACCCAUUGUUUCAAACAAGUAAGACCCCUUGAAGACUACAAGGUUGAUAGGCACGAUGUGUAAGUGGAGUGAUCCAUUCAGCAAGCGUGUACUAAUAGGUCGAGGGCUUGACC
rnacentral:rRNA from 1 species